UGCGAUCUCAACUCACUGCAACCUCUGCCUCCCGGGUUCAAGCGCUUCUCCUCCCUCAGUCUCCUGAGUAGCUGGGAUUAUGGGCACCCGCCACCAUGCCCUGCUAAUUUUUGUAUUUUUAGUAGAGAAGGGUUUUUGCCAUGUUGCCUAGGCUGGUCUCAAACCCCUGACCUCAAGUGAUCUGCCCGUCUUGGCCUCCCAAAGUGCUGGGGUUACAGGUGUGAGCCACUGUGCCUGGCCAGCUGCACUUCUUACUCUCCUCCUAAGAGAAGCCCGAUUUUGUUUUCAGAGUGCUCCUUGUGUGAACUGGGGUUGUGGGAAGGAGUGACAUUUCCCUUCCUUUGUUCAGACGGGGUGAAGACUUAACUUACAGGUAAGGGAGGCCCUUGACUGACGUGGGGUGGGAACUGUUUCGAGCUGUCCUUAUCUCUGGGCCUGUUUCCUGACCUGUGAGAUGGGCCUGUUUCCUGACCCGUGAAAUGAGAAGGUUGGGUGGGAUCAGUUUCCCAGGCUUGCCUGUGGUGAGUAGCCCCCGGAGUGCUCAUUCAAAAGCCACUCUGCUCUCCCGAAUGAGAAUGUUUAGGAGUGAAC
rnacentral:lncRNA from 1 species